CGCGUGCGGGAUGAAGGUCUGUGGACUGUAAACCGCUUUUGAUAGGGAAGAAGACAGUGACGGUACCUAUCGAAUCAGCCUCGGCUAACUCCGUGCCAGCAGCCGCGGUAAUACGGAGGAGGCAAGCGUUAUCCGGAAUUAUUGGGCGUAAAGCGUCCGUAGGUGGUGAUGCAAGUCUAUUGUCAAAGCGUGAGGCUUAACCUCAUAUCGGCAGUGGAAACUGCAUUGCUAGAGUGCGAUAGGGGCAAGGGGAAUUCCCAGUGUAGCGGUGAAAUGCGUAGAUAUUGGGAAGAACAUCGGUGGCGAAAGCGCCUUGCUGGGUCUGCACUGACACUGAGGGACGAAAGCUAGGGGAGCGAAAGGGAUUAGAUACCCCCUGUAGUCA
rnacentral:rRNA from 1 species